GAGGGUGCGAGCGUUAAUCGGAAUUACUGGGCGUAAAGCGCACGUAGGCGGUAUGACAAGUCAAGGGUGAAAUCCCCCGGCUCAACCGGGGAACUGCCUUUGAAACUGUCAAACUGGAGUAUGUGAGAGGGUGGCGGAAUUCCUGGUGUAGGAGUGAAAUCCGUAGAUAUCAGGAGGAACAUCAGUGGCGAAGGCGGCCACCUGGCACAUAACUGACGCUGAGGUGCGAAAGCGUGGGUAGCAAA
rnacentral:rRNA from 1 species